rnacentral:SRP_RNA from 2 species
GCCAGGCGUGGUGGUGCGUGCCUGUAGUCCCAGCUACUCAGGAGGCUGAGGCAGGAUAAUUGCUUGAACCCAGGAGGCGGAGGUUGCAGUGAGCCGAGAUUGUGCCACUGCACUCCAGCCUGGGUGACAGAGCGAGACUCUGUCUCAA